CUGAGGGGACAGACGUGAGUCACAGGAGAGAUGGUAUGAGCACAGUUCCUCCCCUUGUGUUUACCUAUAGAUGCGGAAGGAUAUUUCCUUGUUGUGUCUUUGCCUUGUCUAACACAACACCGAUUUCUAUGUCUGCAAGUGGAGAUGGAGGCUGUGCAGGCUUGUGGUACACGCACGCACAUGACAAAGCGUUUCCUUGGCAACAGAAAUGCCAUAAAAGCUAUCUGAAGAAUUCCUUAGGGCUGUGCAACAAAUAGAAACAUUAACAUGCUGAGACCUAAAUAUAGCAUUAUUUUAGUGCUGUUCAUCCAAGUCUUUACUUAGCUUCAAGCUUGUAUCUGAAAAAAAUGCAGUCAACAAGACAUACAAGGAUGUUUUCAAUAUUUUACACUGUUUUGCUUUUAAAUAGUGCAAGAAUAGAAAUGGGGAGGGGGUUACAGAGGGCACCAGCCUGCACUUUACUGCAGAAUUACAUCCUUGACUGACUUUGCUUUGAAGGUGCCCUCGAUUAGCCGUGGAAGGCUCCUCAGUUCUGUCAGCAGCACAGGCUGAGCUGACGUGGGGAACAGCUGAGUUCUGCUCAUUGGCCUCCAGAGCAGCGAGAAAUCAGCUUGGAUACUGCAAACACUGAGCUUUCCAUAAGACACCUCUCCGAGCUGCCCAUUGCCUUGCUCAGCUGGGGAAGAGCAAGUCAGCAGUAAGUCACAAUCAGACCUUUAUCUGUUGCUGGAGAACACAAUAUUACCGAACAUGUUUCAAGUUAAAAUGCCAUUAAGUAGGAUUCAUCAAGGAGUGGAAAUAAAAUAUCCAAGGACAGAGGAGAAAAGAGAGGAAAAAAAACCUCAUGAUAAAUCAUCUUUAAAAACACCAAAGCAAACUUGGAAAAUCCAGGAGCUCCAGGCCAGACCCAUCUACUUGUAACACGAGUAUAAAUCCAGAGUUACUCCAGAAAGCAACUGAAGUGAAUUCUGCACCACAAACUUCUGGAAAAAUACAAACACCAAUAAAUGUUGAAAGUACCAGCUGGGUGUACCAUCCACUCAUCUAGAGAAAACUGUUUUCCUUCUCUGCUCAAGUGGCUCCUUCUGCCCUGGAAACCCUUUCUGAAGCUGUGGACAUGUCAGAGUGGAUGGAUAGUUCAGGAAUGCCAUUGGGUUUCUAACUCCCCUGUUCUCCUGCAAAAGGCAGUUCAAGUAGUGACUCUGAGCACUUUGAAACGUCCUCAAGUCACUGGCUGAGCCACUGCAUGGAAAGCACACCUCAGUGUUAGUAGAGACUAACGCACACCUCAAUGUUAGCAGCGACUAACGCACACCAAAGUGGAACUUUUGCUCCAGGAUGCCAGUUUGCUAAUGAUAUUAAUAUUUGGGGUGAGAAAACUUUCUUACUUCAAUAUAGGAGGCAAUGUAUGCGCAACCAAAUUCAGCAUUGCUGCCAACCUGUUGUAAAUGUAUGACACAAAUGGAAAGGGACUAGAACACGAGGCAAAUCCCUUGCAUCCUGUAGCUUUACAUAAACAUUCAUAGAAACUGCAGCACAGAGCUGUCUCUCUACUUCACCAAAUAAGCUCUUCAAUUAACUGCAUGGUGAAGCUGAGCUCUUUUAGAUGGCUGUCUUUGCAUUUAAACAGGGCUGAAUCCUUGGCAUGCAACAUGGCUCCUAAUAGCAGCUACUGUGUAGAUAUUUUGUAAACUGUGUCUUUACUCAUUGCAGAGUGAAUACGAUUGGACAUGCUUGCUGAGCAGAAAAAUAUCCGAACAUAUAAAGGAACCUGUUACAGAAAAUGCAAAUGCCAAGGAACAAAAAUACCUCCCAAAUGACUCAUCGUGAACAAAAAGUGAUGCUGAGAGAUCAGAGGAUAUCUAAGAAACUAAGUCACCAGGGAGAGAGCUUUGCCACACCUGCACACAGCAUAGCUGGAGAAAUUAGUUUAUAUUGACACCGUGCUGCUGGGCUCUUGGGACAGCUGGGCUGGCAUCAGCUUUGCUAUGGAUGUCCAUGACUCAUAGUGGUCCAGGUGAAGUUUGCUCUGCGGAGGAGAUCCGUUCUGGUGCUGGCCAGCACUUCCCAUGCAAAGUUCCGUGAGCAGGGAGGGUUGGAGCUGGCUGGGACUCAGGAGGGGUUUUGUCCUCCUGGAAUCUGCCAUGAACUGAGGGACACUUGCUGUACUGGGCAUUUCAUAGCAGGUCAAAAAGUCCUCCUUACUGAUGGGUUUUCCAUGGGUUUUGGCAAGUUGAUCUCUUAAAUGCUGUUGAAAACCCAUGUGCCAGUAAGUGUCUGAAAUGGCAAGAAACAUGACCUUGUUCCCUGCAAAUCCAGUCUGCCCCACAAGCCAGCCCAGUCUGGGUAAAGCAAGAUCUGAGACAGAUGGCCACUAAUGACAAACAAAAUUAUUAUAACUCCAUGUUAAGGCCUUACAGCAUCACAGAGCCUCUGAUUUUUUGACAUUGGCUCUAUACAAAAUGAACGUGUUAAAAUUUUUUAAGCCACUUUUUCCAUUUCUUCUCAACACUACUUCAUUUCCUACAUUGUUUUCUCAGGGGUGCCAGUUUAGAUGACCCAAGUUUCUGCUUUUAAGCCAGUCCUACCGCUUCUCAUAUGAAUUUAUUUCUCAGUCUAAUAAAACUAAGUAUUAGCAACUGAGCGAGCCCUGGGUGAAAACAAGCCAAGCUAUUUUUCAGCCUGACAAAACUGAGUCUGUGGUGUGAAAAUGCUGGUUUGGAUACUCAGCUGUGCUAUCUGUACAUGAAUCCACUACACUCAGGACUUAAAAGUCUCUUACAAACAUAGGAUGCCCUGAUCAUCUUCCACAGAAACAGCUGCAGUGUGGGUUAAGACUGGAUGGCAGUUUUGUGCAUUGCUCCUGUGUCCCUGAUUUUAGAGCCUUUAAAUACUAUUAUAGACCACAUAUAGUUUUCCCCUUUCCGUGAGUACAAAACCAGAAGACACUGUAUUUUCCUCUAUGGGAGUUUGAAAGUCUUGCCUAUUUGCCUCUAAGGCUCCAAGUCUGUUCCUGGCUGCAAGGUGCAUGCAAGGACCUUUACAUCGCAAUGACAAUAGAAAGUAGCUUUAAAUAAGGUGGGAAUACAACCACAUUACUGCCCCAAAGACCUCAGCUAUACAUGGACCAGGCUGCCAAAAAGCAAGGAGGCAGGCACUGGGAGUGAAUAGUCAGUUAUUCCUUGGUACAAUUAUUCCUUCUGCCUAGAAAGGCAGCUGUAGAAUCAGCAGUGCCCUUUGAGCAGCUGUCGGCAGUAGUGGGAACCCAGGGCAAGCUGUGUUCCAGGACCUUCCCUCCUCAUUCUAUCCCAUCCCAUCCAGCACCUGAGGAGGGGGACACACAGUCCCCCAGACACCAAGCCAGUACAGAACUUGCUUUCCCUACAUUUUUCCUCAACACCAGCUUGCAUUUUCAUUUUCUAGAAGUUUUACCCGGGCAGAUACAUUCCCUCAGCUAAAAGAAGCUCUUCACCAUUAAACCAAGAAAAAUGAGGACAAACUCUGCUGUAGGCUUGUUUUAGACUCUGCAUGCGAGAUUGAGAAUAAAAUUGGUAGCUGAAAGAGCAGAGAGAGCAAAGACUCCUCAGUUCUUAAUGUGUUUCAGGUUAGUAUUUGCCUCCUGCUUUACUGUGCUCCAAAGGCAGCAGAGCCCUGUUGGUCCUUUCAGCCCACAGUCACCAGUGCCACGCAUUCUUCUUAUUUUAAUAAUGUCUGCCCAACAGACCUUUGACUUCUAGAACUUUCCUUUUGCCUACAGGCUCUGCCCUGGGAGUGUUGAGGCCUUUUCUUAUUUCUCAUAAUUGACAGCACUGAACCACAAUGUUAAGAGGUUGGGGUUUACUAAUUGGCUCCUUUGCCUGAGGACUAGAAGAGUGAAAAAAAACACAGGCUUUUUUAUUUUUUAAGGGGGGAAAAAAACCCCAAACAACCUGUAAUUAAGUUACAAAUAUCAGCUCAAUGCAUUAUCUAGUUACUUGUUGUCGUGCAGAUGCAAUACAUGUGUGUGGCGAGGGGGCAAAAUGUAAGAAACAAUGCUCAUAUUUGCUAGGUAUCAAGCCUCAAGCAUCUGUUUCUGUUGAAAUGUAUUUCCAUCUCCCAGUUCCCUCCAAGAUGCGGGUAUUGAGGGAGAGGAUAACUUUUCCCAGGCUGGAAAAGAUGAUACAGUCUGCUCAGAUACAAGCCCAACAAAUUCCACUUGACAUUCAUGAGGCAACUGGUGAUAUCAGCCCCCUCCUGUGAACCAGCCAGAGGUUUUGCCAUGAGUUCAGACUCAAGCAAAUGGUGUUCUGGGCUCAAAUGUGGCAUUUUUCUUGUAUUCACUGCCCCAGGCUUAUCUCCUGGGAGAAAAAAAGAAGGAAAGCUUGAAGAGCAACAAAAAAAUAAGUGUCCUCUCUGCAUCACAUGGAGUGAAAUAUUAUACUUUACCAUCUUCUUUGUAGUCAUUACUUAAAAAUGCAUCCACCACUGUAAAAAACACAACUGCUAGAGCCAUGGUGGUUGCAUUCCCUGGCUGGGACAUGAGGGAAUGGGGCUGCCACACGCCUGGUUGUGCUGUCAUGUGUGCCCUGCCACAGUGGCAUUGGUGACGCUGCCCUUGAUGGGUAAGGCAGCACCAGGAUUGCAGCCAUAGUCCCCAAAGGGGAAAUCAAAACAGCUCCCUGAUGCUCUUCCAUCUUUCCGCCACUCCCAGCUCUUACAGUCUUGUUGCAUGGGAGGAAAAUUGAUAUCUUUAAUGAAAAAAGUGAAAUAAAAGCUGGUAAAAACUGCUGGAAAUCAACACAACUUUUCAGGCUUAUAGCAAUGUGUUUGCAAGUACUGAACUCCAGUGGCAGCUCCAGCCUUCAUUAUACAGGUCUAAUACAAGUUUCUUAAAUAAUAAAUGUACAUUGUUCCCUCAUAGCAUCAAAGAAAAGGGCUUGAUUUUUUUUAGUCCUUUCCACCUUUAAUUUCAAACCCACACUAGUGAUUGCACACCUGCAGAAUGUGUUUUAUGGUUCCCACAAACUCUGAAAAUGGGAUUCUUGAGAAUAUACUGAUUCUUACUGCUUAGAUAUAUAGUUUUGUAGACCCAUCUCCCACUGCCUCUGUAUGUAUUUUUCAAUCACCAGUUGAUAUCUUUCAGAUUUUGUUUUUCCAUCCAAAUAAAAGUCCUUUUUUCCUAUUGAAA